GCCCAAGCGAAAGCAUUAAGCAUCCCACCUGGGGAGUACGCCGGCAACGGUGAAACUCAAAGGAAUUGACGGGGGCCCGCACAAGCGGAGGAACAUGUGGUUUAAUUCGAUGAUACGCGAGGAACCUUACCCGGGCUUGAACUGCCGGCGAACGAUACAGAGAUGUUGAGGCCCUUCGGGGCGCCGGUGGAGGUGCUGCAUGGUUGUCGUCAGCUCGUGCCGUGAGGUGUCGGCUUAAGUGCCAUAACGAGCGCAACCCCUUUCCUUAGUUGCCAUCAGGUAGAGCUGGGCACUCUGGGGAUACUGCCACCGUAAGGUGUGAGGAAGGUGGGGAUGACGUCAAAUCAGCACGGCCCUUACGUCCGGGGCUACACACGUGUUACAAUGGCGCAUACAGAGAGUCGGUAUUUCGCAAGAAGUAUCUAAUCAUGAAAAUGCGUCGUAGUUCGGAUUGGGGUCUGCAACCCGACCCCAUGAAGCUGGAUUCGCUAGUAAUCGCGCAUCAGCCAUGGCGCGGUGAAUACGUUCCCGGGCCUUGUACACACCGCCCGUAAUCACUAGUGAAUUCGCGGCCGCCUGCAGGUCGACCAUAUGGGAGAGCUCCCAACGCG
rnacentral:rRNA from 1 species